rnacentral:rRNA from 1 species
CCUUAACUGUGCAAAGGUAGCAUAAUAAUUUGGUUCUUAAUUGGGAUCUUGAAUGAAGGGGCUCAUGAAAGACGAUUCGUAGACCUGUAAGACUACAACUUAAGGCUUUGAUUAAAACUUCAAACCCAACCAAUGGGAAGAUAAGACCCUGCAGAGCUGGCUUAGAGAUAACCUAAGCUCAAACAAUUUGAGGGUUCGUUGCUGUUGUGUUAAACUGGGGCGGUCAAGUAACAUAUCUAAUUUAUGAGUCAAUACUAUAGUCCCCACCAAGAUCUUUAGCAAGUUAAAGAGUAGUUACCUCAGGGAUAACAGCACAAUGCUUUUAGAGAGGCCCAAUCGAUAAAAGAUCUUGUGACCUCGAUGUUGAAUUAAAGGUGCUGCUUAGUGUAGCAGCCAAGCAAGCUAGUCUGUUCGACUAUUAAA